AUUGAACGCUGGCGGCAGGCCUAACACAUGCAAGUCGAGCGGAGCGACGGACGGGCGGGUAAUUCCUGGGAGUCGGUCUGCUAGUGGGGGGUAACUUUCGGAUACGGACGGUAAUUCCUAAUGCUCGCUGACGAGUCUAGGUAGGAUUGGUUAGUUGGUGGGGUAAUGGCUCACCAAGGCUACGAUCGGUAACUGGUCUGAGAGGAUGAUCAGUCACACUGGAAAUGAGACACGGUCCAGACUCCUACGGGAGGCAGCAGUGGGGAAUAUUGGACAAUGGGCGAAAGCCUGAUCCAGCCAUGCCGCGUGUGUGAAGAAGGUCUUCGGAUUGUAAAGCACUUUAAGUUGGGAGGCGUUACCGACAGAAUAAGCACCGGCUAACUCUGUGCCAGCAGCCGCGGUAAUUC
rnacentral:rRNA from 1 species